UUGCACUGAAUGAGAUUUUAACACGAAGUGAGUGGCGGACGGGUGAGUAACACGUGGGUAACCUGCCCAGAAGCAGGGGAUAACACCUGGAAACAGAUGCUAAUACCGUAUAACAGAGAAAACCGCCUGGUUUUCUUUUAAAAGAUGGCUCUGCUAUCACUUCUGGAUGGACCCGCGGCGCAUUAGCUAGUUGGUGAGGUAACGGCUCACCAAGGCGAUGAUGCGUAGCCGACCUGAGAGGGUAAUCGGCCACAUUGGGACUGAGACACGGCCCAGACUCCUACGGGAGGCAGCAGUAGGGAAUCUUCCACAAUGGACGCAAGUCUGAUGGAGCAACGCCGCGUGAGUGAAGAAGGGUUUCGGCUCGUAAAGCUCUGUUGUUAAAGAAGAACGUGGGUGAGAGUAACUAUUCACCCAGUGACGGUAUUUAACCAGAAAGCCACGGCUAACUACGUGCCAGCAGCCGCGGUAAUACGUAGGUGGCAAGCGUUAUCCGGAUUUAUUGGGCGUAAAGCGAGCGCAGGCGGUCUUUUAAGUCUAA
rnacentral:rRNA from 1 species